rnacentral:rRNA from 1 species
GACGAACGCUGGCGGCGUGCUUAACACAUGCAAGUCGAACGGAAAGGCCCUGCUUUUGUGGGGUGCUCGAGUGGCGAACGGGUGAGUAACACGUGAGUAACCUGCCCUUGACUUUGGGAUAACUUCAGGAAACUGGGGCUAAUACCGGAUAGGAGCUCCUGCUGCAUGGUGGGGGUUGGAAAGUUUCGGCGGUUGGGGAUGGACUCGCGGCUUAUCAGCUUGUUGGUGGGGUAGUGGCUUACCAAGGCUUUGACGGGUAGCCGGCCUGAGAGGGUGACCGGCCACAUGGGGACUGAGAUACGGCCAGAACUCCUACGGGAGGCAGCGGGGGGGAAUAUUGCACAAUGGGCGGAAGCCGGAGGCAGCAACGCCGCGUGCGGGAUGACGGCCUUCGGGUUGUAAACCGCUUUCGCCGGUGACGAAGCGUGAGUGACGGUAAUGGGUAAAGAAGCACCGGCUAACUACGUG